UAAUGUCUUAGAAGACCAAAGCUAUGUCAG
rnacentral:piRNA from 1 species